rnacentral:rRNA from 1 species
GAUGAACGCUGGCGGCGUGCCUAAUACAUGCAAGUCGAGCGAACAGACGAGGAGCUUGCUCCUCUGACGUUAGCGGCGGACGGGUGAGUAACACGUGGAUAACCUACCUAUAAGACUGGGAUAACUUCGGGAAACCGGAGCUAAUACCGGAUAAUAUAUUGAACCGCAUGGUUCAAUAGUGAAAGACGGUUUUGCUGUCACUUAUAGAUGGAUCCGCGCCGCAUUAGCUAGUUGGUAAGGUAACGGCUUACCAAGGCGACGAUGCGUAGCCGACCUGAGAGGGUGGUCGGCCACACUGGAACUGAGACACGGUCCAGACUCCUACGGGAGGCAGCAGUAGGGAAUCUUCCGCAAUGGGCGAAAGCCUGACGGAGCAACGCCGCGUGAGUGAUGAAGGUCUUCGGAUCGUAAAACUCUGUUAUUAGGGAAGAACAAAUGUGUAAGUAACUAUGCACGUCUUGACGGUACCUAAUCAGAAGGCCACGGCUAACUACGUG